GUUUGGGUUACAUGUUUUGUUCGGAUUAAAUCGUUGGGCUUUAUUUAUUUUUUUUCUGUCAAGGCCCAGCUCAUAUUGUUUUGCAGGUAGAGGUGGAGAGUCUCCCGACUCUUCACAUAUCACAGCCUUCGCGUACGUCUUUGUAACGGCUUCAAUUAUCUUCAGGUUAUAUUAAUCCAUCCAUUUACUCCUAUUCUCUCUAACUAAAUCGGCCAUAGCAUCCUCCUCUGUAAUAGACUGCUUCACCUAUCAAUGUCUCCACUGCUUGGGAUGAACAGUCCUACCAAAACCGAAAUCCCAAAUCCCAAAGGUCUCUCUCUCUCUCUCAAGCAUCAAAUCCAUCAGUGGCAGAAUUUGUUUACUCUGCUCGCCGAUUUAACUACGCCGAGCAACGACCGUGUUUUAUUAAAGCUUUGUUACACAGAGCUGCUCACUUAGGAAUGAAUCAGUUCAAGGAUGUUAUCAACGUUUACUUUAUACGAAGGGGCUUGCCAUUGAUCCAAGCAACGUAGCGUACACAAUCAUGUUUGGCAGACCCUUAAGGUUUUGUGUCUGACACGCCAUCAUGGAUCCAUUUGGAUGUGUUGGAGAAACUAAUAACGGACUAUUCAGCGACAUGUUUUUUUUUGUGAAGCCACUUGAUUUCCUAAACAUUUGGAUUUAGGCGGGUGAAGCAGCGGUGGAUCAGGAGGAUAAGAUGGUUGUGCCUCCAAGGAAGGAGCAUGAGGUAGAGAAGAAACAAGAACCGAAGCAUGAACCUGAGCCGGACUUUGGAGAAUAAAGAGAGGAAGAUAAAAGCUUUGAAGGAAAAAGAUGGAGAAUUCGGCAUACAAUGACUUCAAAACACUAUAAAGAAUUACUCAAAGCCAUGGAAAUUAUUGUUGAAUAUAUAUCUUUAUCACAAAUCAUCCUGCUGUAAUCUGGAGAUGGCAAAGUAUGAUGAGUGCAUCAAGGAUUGUGAUAAGGCUGUUGAAAAAGUCUAUGAGGAAGAUGGAAAAAAAGUCUCAAGAGACUGAACUUGUGAUUGAGUCUUAUAUAAAGCCCUUACGGAGUACCGCAACCUAAACACGUUGAAGAUGCUGAAUGAGGCAGAGAACGUCAAGAAAGAGUUGGCGCAGGAAGAAUAAUUUGAUCUCAGUAUUGGUGAGGUAAUGAAUUCUUCAAUGAGCAGAAGUAUCAUGAUGCUGUGAAACAUCACACUGCGAAAAAAAAAUCAAAAAGACUUGAGGUCAAUUCUAAUCAUCUUAUGUGUGUCACUGUUUUGUACAAAGGCUCAAUAUUUGAUUGUUUGAAUUAAUUUUUUUGCUUUGAAUUUCAUACAGGCAUAGAAUAACCGAGCUGUGUGUUACACAAAACUAGGGGCAGUAC